rnacentral:rRNA from 1 species
UACAGAGGGUGCAAGCGUUGCUCGGAAUCAUUGGGCGUAAAGGGCAGGUAGGUGGUCUUAUUUGUCAGGGGUGAAAGCCUUGGGCUUAACCCGAGAAGUGCCCCUGAAACGGUAGGACUGGAGUCUUGGAGAGGGUCGUGGAAUUCCCGGUGUAGCGGUGAAAUGCGUAGAGAUCGGGAGGAACACCAGAGGCGAAAGCGGCGACCUGGACAAGCACUGACACUCAACUGCGAAAGCGUGGGUAGCAAACAGG